rnacentral:rRNA from 1 species
AUUGAACGCUGGCGGCAGGCCUAACACAUGCAAGUCGAACGAGUGGCGGACGGGUGAGUAAUGUCUGGGAAACUGCCUGAUGGCGGGGGAUAACUACUGGAAACGGUAGCUAAUACCGCAUACCAUCGGAUCUGCCCAGAUGGGAUUAGCUAGUGGGUGGGGUAAAGGCUCACCUAGGCGACGAUCCCUAGCUGGUCUGAGAGGAUGAUUAGCCACACGUGGACUGAGACACGGCCCAGACGCCUACGAGAGGAAGCAGUGGGGAAUAUUGCACAAUGGGCGCAAGCCUGAUGCAGCCAUGCCGCGGGUAUGAAGAAGGCCCUAGGGUUGUAAAGUACUUUCAGUCGGGAGGAGUUACCGACAGAAGAAGCACCGGCUAACUCCGUGCCAGCAGCCGCGGUAAUAC